UAUUAAUUGGACAUGCUCAACGGGAACCAAUAAGAUGGCCUGAGCCCGAACAGACUAGAGUGUGGAGAGCUGAUAUCAACAAGUUCUCUGUGCCGUAGCUCUAAGUGGAGCAUCCACUGGGGCUUAUUGUGAAAGUCUGUGAGUGCCUCCCAGCACCGACGACUGAAACUUGGCUCUCGAGAUUCCCAUUCCAGGGUAAUUACUAGCUUGCUAUCGGACCUUAAUUGAAACUGCCCCUAUGACUGAAAGCCAUAAAACAGCCUUCAGUCUAAAAUGCCUGUCAGGUCUUGGGUGAUGUCAGAAAAACACUCAUUGGGGAGGCCAGUGCCCAGAAAAGUUCCAUAAUGAAAUGGAAAUGGUUACAAAGGAUCAUGCUACUUCUGCAAUGCAAGGAUGAUGUACUUACAAGCAGGGAGCUUCUUUUCGCCUUGGACUGAUGUGUGAGGAGCUGCCAGAUUCUGUCAUCACUUGGACGGUGCCUUAUAAACAGCUCUCAACUGGCCAGCAAAGAGCAGCUUGGUUUAUUGUUGGCAGUUGUAAGGUAAACAGACAAUAUCCUCUUUGGAAGGCCACCAUCCUGGUCCAAGAAAGGUCAGCUGGGGGCUCUGUUCCACGUUACUCUCACUCUGGACACCAGGCUGACGUGAGAAACACCAACUGGAGUACCGCUGGUUGCUAUGGAGAGAGAAAGAAGUGGGAGAAUUUGUAUUGGCUCUUAAAAUAUCUGCUCCCAUGUCAUUGGUCAAAGCAGGUCCCGUUCCACAUCUAACUUCAAAGAGGAUAUGGAAGUAUACUCCCAUCACGUGUCUGGAAAGAAGGAAACAGGAUGUUUGUGAAGAGCCUGAGAAUACUACACGACUCUUUCAGUUGCAAAUGACAUAAACCAAAUUUUAAUUGGCCGAAGCAGAAAAGGGAAUUUGCUGACUCACGGAAAGGAUGAAAAACACUCUCCAUGUCAUUUCCUCUGACCUCACUCUCACUUCUGAUUUUCCUUCUUUUGAUCCUGGAUUGUAUCGUUAUAUCUCUGUGAUCUACAAACACCCCUGCACAUCCAUGUAUAUGAUGAUAUGCUUGAUUAUACUUACAUUUGUUUCUGUAUGUCUUUUGAUUGUCAGUUGCCUGAUUCACCUACUACCUGUUGAUCUAUCCCUGUUUUUA
rnacentral:lncRNA from 1 species